UAAAUGCAUACAAAUGGUUUAUUGGCAAGUUUUCUAUAAAACAGUACAUACAUCACAUAUUGUCACAGUUAUUUAUGGAAUGUAAAUGUUUAAAAUAUAUAGAUGUUACAGAAGGGGUACAUGUACUAGACUCUUUUCCAUAAAUAGAAUUGUGAUUGCAACCUAUUCAGUCUUAAAGUUACAUUUUAUUAAAACUUCCUCAUGCACAGAGCUUUCCACCAAAAUAGCAGAACUGAAACAUUCUUAAAACCUAAAUCUAAGAAAGUGCACUCAAUGUUUAGGUGAUAUAUCCCUAAUCCAUAAAGUACGAGUUCAGCGCUUUAAAUAUAAAAUAGAGACUUACCGCUCCAAUAAAAGUUUAAUACACGUGGAAACAAGAAACAUAUAAAAUAUAGUGUAGUAUUUUUUGAAAGCGCAAUGACUAUAGAGGUGAGUGAAAAUCAACUCACAUGUAUUAGAGCCUUUUCACUGUAUAGGCUCUAAACUAGAUAGCCUUCUUGCUGUUUAGAUGGCAAUUUGACCUUUCUUCUGGAAUAAUUUCACUCAGCAAAUCCCAAGGGAAUCUGUAAAAUGGAAAACAGAAGUUUCUUCCUGGACAUUUUUUUGCUUGCUGUUUUCUAUCUUACAGAUUCCCUUUGGAUUUGCUGAGUGAAAUUCUCCCUGAAGAAAGGUUAAAUUGCCAUCUAAAGAGCAAGAAGGCUAUCUAGUUUAGAGCCUAUACAGU